UACGGGGGGAGCAAGCGUUGUUCGGAUUUACUGGGCGUAAAGGGCGCGUAGGCGGUCGUGACAAGUCACUUGUGAAAUCUCCGGGCUUAACUCGGAACGGUCAAGUGAUACUGUCGGACUAGAGUACAGAAGGGGCAACUGGAAUUCUCGGUGUAGCGGUGAAAUGCGUAGAUAUCUGGAGGAACACCUGAGGUGAAGACGGGUUGCUGGGCUGACACUGACGCUGAGACGCGAAAGCGUGGGGAGCAAACAGG
rnacentral:rRNA from 1 species